rnacentral:rRNA from 1 species
UACGGAGGGUGCGAGCGUUAAUCGGAAUUACUGGGCGUAAAGGGUUCGUAGGUGGUUUAUUAAGUUAGCUGUGAAAUUCCUGGGCUUAACCUGGGGUGGUCAGCUAAGCCUGGUAGACUCGAGUAUGGGAGAGGGUAGUGGAAUUUCCGGUGUAGCGGUGAAAUGCGUAGAGAUCGGAAGGAACACCAGUGGCGAAGGCGGCUACCUGGCCUAAUACUGACACUGAGGAACGAAAGCGUGGGGAGCAAACAGG